rnacentral:lncRNA from 1 species
GGUGUUAUCCUGGGUCAUGAGCCAUCCUAACAGAUUAAGUCAUCCUAUUAUAGAGGCUACAAGAUGUUAAUAGCAAGCACAGAUAGAUGAGAGGUACAAAAACCUCCUUAGAUGGUAGGCCAAGGGUGCACCGAAGAGGUCCCAUGGACUGGGUUUUCUCUCUGGCUAAUUUGGAGUUCCUUUUGGAGCUGAGAGCAAACAUUGUGGGACUGGACAAAGCACAAAACCAGGCUGGAAAUCGAUGCUGUUUAAAAUAUCCUACAGAUCUCAUUGAAGAUGUGCUGAUUUGCACCUUAAACUACUGACUCAGCCCUUGGCAAAAAAAGUGUAAAAGUUUGCUCCAAUUUAGAGUAUUGUCUUUUCUGUGGCAUCUCAAUCCCUCCUAAAAGAGGCCACCCUUACACUCUUCUUCCAGGAUAAAUAGCAACACUGGCUUUUUCAGCCCAGGGACACAUAAUUGCCUAGAUCUCAUCUAGGAAUUAGCUGAGGAAAUGACCAGAAGUUGGCUACUGUAGGGAACUGAAUGUAUCCAACGUAGAGGUGAGGAUCAUCUGGGAGUCAUUCGGGAAUCCACCAAAACUAGACAGGGAAAUAUUUUGCUGGAAAGGGGAAGGGAAGCCCAUCUGAGGUUUAGCAGUGAUGGAGAGCUCUUCCCCUCUUCCUCUUCUGUCUCUAAGAAAUGUGUUCCUCUACCAGCAUUAUAGCAGCUAUUGACGAAGAAGGAGUCACAGUGAUGACACUGUUGGAAAACAUACGCAAUUUUUACCUGUUCUCCUUUUUCUCCUGCAUCCCCAGUUGUACCACGGUCUCCUUUAGCACCCUGAUAAUGAAAAAAAAGUAAUUGGUCACUUUAGAUUCAGUGUUGUGUCAGCUUUUUGACCCAUUUCAUAAAGCACUUGGACAUUUGCUCAUAAAACACAGAAUUAAGAACUGAACCCUGCUUGCUCUCCUCUUAAAUUCUGCCCUAGAUUUUCUCUACUAAUGUUGGAGACAGGAAUAUCUGGGAAAAUGGUCUUUGAACAGACCCAGCAUAGUCUUUUAUAUAUAUAUAUAUAUAUUUAUAUAUAGUCUCAGGGACAUGAAGAGGACAGACACAUCCUUAAAAAUAGACAGGUUGUUAGGCGAUGUACUAAGUGAGAUUUUGAUAAGGAAUCAUCUAGCCCAAAGAAGGCACCCACAGUAUGAGCUACCAAUCUCCUCUCCCUUCAGGGACAACAGCAACAAAAACGUCAUUUCCAAGGUGCAUUCAGAAAAUUAACACCCAUAAAGUGCCUCUCUCUCCCCAUUUCUCUCUCUGUCCUCAUG